rnacentral:lncRNA from 1 species
GGCAAAAUGCUUUAUAAUAACUUCAUUCUAGUUCAGGAGUGCUGUGAAAAUUAUUUAUAAGAAUGAGCUGAUGUUAUUUAACAUACGACCUAUAAAAUAGAGCAGAAGUUCACCUCUGUAAUCUACCUAAAUAUUCACACAGAAGAGCAUUAGCUAAAACAUUUGAACAUGAGUUAGCUGGGAGUUGAGAUGGUGAAUCAUUCUCCCCAGUGAUCUGUAAUGAUCGCUAAGAACCACCUCUAAAGGCUGGAGGCCUAGGGUACUUACAAGACAGGUGGGGAGAUCCUAUACUCAGAAAGAGAGGAUGGAUCCCCACCAGGGUAGAGGGUUUAACACCUGGACCCAAGAGUCACAGCAGUUUACCCAUCAUGACUACAGCCAGAUUCCCUGCCUGUAAACUGAGCAACUGUAGGGCUUUAAAUCAUUCUCUCAACAAGUAUUUAAUGAGCACUUACUAUUUUCCAGUGGGGAUAUGAUAGUUAGCUCAAACCCCUGGGCCCAGUCUUCAUGGAGCUCACAGUCUAUGGGUCCAUCCUUGGAAAACUUCAAGUUAAGCAAGAGCAGUGAGAGUUUCCUAUCCUCCUCCCGUUAAAAUAACUUUUUACCUCCAGGGAAAUGAUCUUUUUACAAAAAUAUGCCCCAACUCUCUGGUUUUGUCUUUAGUUUACUUUUAAAUAAACUUGGAUCAUGGAAUGAAAGAUAAGGAAACUUAAUAGGCUGUUGAAGCGAAAACCCUCAGAAGAGGUUGUUUCAACCAGACUUUCCUUUCUGAUAAAUCACUGGAGCUGCCUAAACUGAAUCCCAUCAAUCCUCUGUUCUCUGCUAGCCCUUUGUCUUAGCCCACUUGGGCUGCUAUAACAGGAAUGGCAUACACUGCGUGGCUUAUAAACAAUAGAAAUUUAUUGCUCACUGUUCUGAGGGCUGGGAAGUCCAAAAUUAAGGCACCUGAAGUUGCUGUGUCUGGUGAGGGCAUGCUUUCUGCUUCAUAGAUCGCACCUUCUAACAAUGUCCUCACAGGGUGGAAGGGGCUAGCUUUUUGGGUUCUCUUAUAAAGGCAAUCAUCUCAUUCACGAGGGUGGAGCCUCAUGACCUAAACCCCUCCCAAAAGCUCUCAUCUUGUAAUACUGUCACAUUGGGGAUCAGGUUUCAACUUAGGAAUUUUGGAGGAACAUAAACAUUCGGAUCAUAACAUCCUUCGUUUCCCACAUUCUUGGCAAUUUCUUCCCUGGCUCAUUGCCAACUGCCCUACUGUCCCUGACUACCUGUGACGGUUAAUUUUAGGUGUCAAUUUGACUGGACUAAAGGAUGCACAGAUAGCUGAUAAAACAUUAAUUCUGGGUGUGUCUGUGAGGGGGUUUCUGGAAGAAAUUAGCGUUUAACUCAGUAGACUGAGUAAAGCAGAUCACCCCCACCAGUGGGAGUGGGCAUCCUGCAAUCCAUUGAGGGCCUAAAUACUAAUAGAAGAAAAAGGCAAAGGAGGGGCGAAUUCACUUUCUCUGUUGGAGCUGGGACAUCCAUCUUCUCCUGCCCUCAGAUAUCAGAACCCCUGGUUCUCAGACCUUUGGACCUGAACUGAAUUAUACCACUGGCUUUUCUAGUUCUCCAGCUUGCAGAGAGCAGAUCAUGAUACUUAGCCUCCAUAAUCACAUAGGAAAAUUCCUAUAAAUAAUAAACGUGUGUGUGUGUGUGUUUGUACGCGUGCGCAUGUGUAUGUGUGUGUAUAUGAUGGUUUCUUUGGAGAAUCCUAUUACUCAAGACUGCCUUUUCUUCAUCAAAUAUGUUGAUGCAGGUAGGAUGAAGUGUCAGCAAAUGAGCAUAUUCUAAUUUACUCUUUCACUUUAAAAAACAAAACCAGAUAAUCAUGGCAAGAAACCCUCCUUGACCCUCUGCAUUUCUGCCUUAUUUCUCUAUUUUCAUCCACAGUCAAAAUUCUCAGGAGUUGUCUGCAUACCCUGUCUUCAGUUUUGCAUGACUCAUUCACCCUUCAACCUCCUCCAACCUGGCUUCUACUCCCUCAGCUCCACCCACGACAUUUGCUGAAGCCAUAAAUUACCUUCAGAAUCAGAGAGCUGGUACCAUUUUAGUAGGUUCGUGGCCUGCCUGAAAACUAUGACCUUGGAGCAUCAUUUACUCAAAAUGCUAAUCCAAAAACAGGACAUCAAAACUAGUCAUCCUUCACCUCAUGGAAAUGAAUACCCCAAGGUUUCCUCUGGUCACUUUCCACACAUCCUCAUUUGGCCCCUGCUCAUGAGCAAGUUGAUUUAGGAGAUGGUGCCUGGCAGUUCCUCCUCUGAUUAUCCAGGGAAGACAGAAAAAGAGGAAAACAGGAGACAAGAAGUAAAGCUUAGAACAGAGAGGUAACCAUUAACCAGUAAGGGCUAAUAGAUGAGUCCAGAGAAAAGAUAACAAAGGAGGCAAGGAGAGCAUGGUAAGCCAUGGUAGGGGUGAGGGAAAGAUAUUGAAGAUUGAACUCCACCAGUGUGGGAUAAUGUUUGUAUGUGGACUGUGUUGUGUCUCAGGUUCAGGUUGUUUAAGCAGCCUAGUGACCCAGAUGGUCCCCUCCUUAGUGUCUGGUUUUGUCAGGUUGUAACUUGGCUUUUUCAGUUCCCUAAUAUCUCACAUUAUCUCCUCUUCCUCCUAGGCCUUAAUCAUGUCUUACUUUUUUACCUCCCAAUUGGUUGAUAUUGAAUUCUUAUUAAAUAAAAAUGUACUCUUUACUCUUGAGUUAAAAUUCUGAUGGGGGAAGAAUGUAUACACAGAAAUAAUGUCACAACUAUUUAUGUUAAUUAAAGGAAAUACAGAGCAAGGUCAACUGAGAUAUUCCGGAGAAGGGAGUUUCCUUAGGGUAUUGCCGCAUGGACAUACGUGCUCACUGUGGCACAGAAACACCUGCAGAUUUUUCUUUCACGUAAGACUCAGAGGCAAAGUUACUGUAAUCAAGAAUAUGUUGUUAAGAAGGCCUGGUAUUAAUACUGUCAUUGGUAAGCAUUUUGUAACUUAUAUAAAGCAGACCUUGGGUUUUCAGGACACUUCAUCUGCUAAUUGUCAACAAAAUACAGCUGAGGUUGCAAUGUGUCAGCAAGAAUGUCAAGGAGGAAGUCAGAGGGUCAAAUCAGCUGGGGCUUGGCCCAUUUACCCUAGGUGGUGUUCUUAAAGACUCAGUGGUUCAUUCUGCUUGGCAGCUUAAAGAGCCAUUGAGGUUCAGAACUAAAAAUGUGUGGGCCAGGAAGAGGGCAGUGAAUGACUGGGACCAACUUGCCAGUGUCUCCCAGGGGCACCGGCUCAGAUAACUGGAAGUCUGGAAGCUUUCUCAUACGCAGCCAGUCCCGUAAGCAGCUCUUGGCAAGACUAAAAAAAAAAAAAAAAAAAAGAAAGAAAAA